CCCCUCUGUAUAUUUAUCACCACUCUGUUUAUCUUCCACCACUCUGUAUAUUUAUCACCACUCUGUAUAUCAACCACCACUCCGUUAACUACCACCACUCUGUUUAUCUUAUCUUAUCUAUACAUCUAUCACCACUCCACAUAUAUCUCAAAUCUGUAUAUCUAUCAUCACUCUGUAUAUAUUUCCUUAAGUGUAUAUAUAUCACAUACUUG
rnacentral:lncRNA from 1 species